rnacentral:rRNA from 1 species
CGGACGACGCUGGCGGCGUGGAUUAGGCAUGCAAGUCGAACGGUAUCAUCCUUUCGGGGGUGAGAGAGUGGCGAACUGGUGAGUAACACGUAGGUUAUCUACCCUCAAGACGGGACAACCAGGGAAACUUGGGCUAAUACCGGAUGAGAGUGCGAGAGAUUGCAUUUAAAAGGAUGGCGAAAGUUGUCGCUUAGGGAUGAGCCUGCGGUCUAUUAGUUAGUUGGUGAGGUAAGAGCUCACCAAGGCGAUGAUAGAUAGGCGGCCUUAACGGGUGGUCGCCCACACUGGGAUUGAGAUACGGCCCAGACUCCUACGGGAGGCAGCAGUCGAGAAUAGUCUACAAUGGCCGGAAGGCUGAUAGUGCGACGCCGCGUGAACGAGGGAGCCCUUCGGGGUGUAAAGUUCUUUUCUAUACGAGCAGUGCUAUAUAUAUGGAUAGUAUAUAUAGAGGGAUAGUAGUAUAGGAAUAAGCAACGGCUAACUCCGUG